UGCUCGCUCUGUCUCUCUCACUCUCUCUUCUCUGCAGCAGCAGUCGCUCCUUCGUUUUAUACGGCGCAACGGGUCAGAUCGAAUUAAUUGCCAGGUCGAAACCAGUUUGGUAGGAACGGAUUCCGCAGCGCAAAUUUAAAGUCACAGCCUUCGGGGGCCUUCUUAAUGUCUCGAGAAUCACGUCUCCCUUUCUCGCGGCGAAACUUAUAUGUAUACGCGUACGGGAGCACAUUUCUCCGGGGCAAAAAGCGGCCAACGGUAGUCGCCGUGUCUUUAUUCGCUCGCUUACGUAAAUCAAAUGUCUCGCGAUUGACUGGAUUACUUCAACCGUAAAAUGUUUCUAUUAUAAGGAUUGACGGCUUGGGAUGGCCUGGUGACGAUAAUUAUGUUUUUAGAUACGUGUGCAUGAUGCAUGAACGACUUAUUCACAAGUCAGGUGCGAUCGAAACUUUUUGAUAGGAUGUGUAUAUACAGCCAAGGCUUCAGAUGUUGCAACAAGAGGCAGCCGCAAUCGUCCAAACUGCACCUGUAAUGAAUCUUAUACAAUCAAUGGUGUAGGAGGAUAAAAGACUGCGCGUUGCAGUUACAGCAUGAAUGGCUAAGGCAGCAGACCAGACAAGGCAGUUUUAGUAUGGGUGGCACACCACUAUUUCUAGGCUCGGCUGCAUAUUGUUCAUAAGGGAGCAGAAAAAAUGCCCAUGCGCCACAUAUUGUCACCUGCCACAAACUCGGAGAGUUUAGGCGGGGACGAGAAG